rnacentral:rRNA from 1 species
AGGAUGAACGCUGGCGGCGUGCCUAACACAUGCAAGUCGAACGUCCUUCUUCUUCGGAAGAAGGGAGUGGCGGACGGGUGAGUACCACGUGGGUUAUCUACCGUGAGGUGAGGAAUACCGGCGAGAAAUCGCCGACAAGACCGCAUAGGCUCGAUGCAAGUCGAGCAAAGCUCGCUCGCAAGAGGGAGCGCCACACGAGGAGCCUGCGCCCGAUUAGCUGGCUGGUGGAGUAAUGGUUCACCAGGGCGACGAUCGGUAGCUGGUCUGAGAGGACGAUCAGCCACACUGGGAUUGAGAACGGCCCAGACUCCUACGGGGGGCAGCAGUGAGGAAUUUUCGUCAAUGGGGCAACCCUGAACGAGCAACGCCGCGUGCAGGAAGAAGGUUUCGGAUCGUAAACUGCUUUUCUCGGGGAAGAGAACGGACGGUACCCGAGGAACGAAGCCCCGGCUAACUACGCGCCAGCAGCCGCGGUAA